UUGAGUUCAAAAGGAGUCCCUUUGCUACUA
rnacentral:piRNA from 1 species